GUUUGUGUAGUUUUUGUAUGAAGGCAGUGACGCAUGACAGUGUUAGAAACGGGCAUACCUAUUUACUUAAGGCUCUCCAUCAGCUCCCAGUUAUGUUUUGGUGCACAGCCGGGCUC